rnacentral:rRNA from 1 species
AUACGGAGGAUGCGAGCGUUAUCCGGAUUUAUUGGGUUUAAAGGGUGCGCAGGCGGCCAUUUAAGUCAGCGGUUAAAUCGUGGGGCUCAACCCCAUUCUGCCGUUGAUACUGGGUGGCUUGAUUGCGGUCGAGGUUGGCGGAAUUCGUUGUGUAGCGGUGAAAUGCAUAGAUAUGACGAAGAACACCGAUUGCGUAGGCAGCUGACCAGACCGCAAAUGACGCUCAUGCACGAAAGUGCGGGGAUCGAACAGGAUUAGAUACCCUGGUAGUCCGCACAGUAAACGAUGAAUACUUGUUUUCGGCGAUAUAAUGUCGGAGGCAAAGCGAAAGCGAUAAGUAUUCCACCUGGGGAGUACGCCGGCAACGGUGAAACUCAAAGGAAUUGGCGGGG